rnacentral:rRNA from 1 species
GACGAACGCUGGCGGCGUGCCUAACACAUGCAAGUCGAGCGAAUGAAGUUCCUUCGGGAACGGAUUUAGCGGCGGACGGGUGAGUAACACGUGGGCAGCCUGCCGCGUAGAGGGGAAUAGCCUUCGGAAAGGGAGAUUAAUACCGCAUAAGAUAGUAGUACCGCAUGGUACAGCAGUUAAAGGAGCAAUCCGCUAUGGGAUGGGGCCGCGGCGCAUUAGCUAGGCGGCGAGGUAAUGGCUCACCAAGGCGACGAUGCGUAGCCGACCGGAGAGGGUGAUCCGCCACAUUUGCGGGGGGAAACGGCUCCGACUCGUAGGGGAGGAAGGAGUGGGGAAUAUGGCACAAUGGGGGAAGCCCUGAUGCAGCAACGCCGCGUGAGUGAUGACGGCCUUCGGGUUGUAGGACGCUGGCUUCAGGGACGAUCAUGACGGUACCUGAGGAGGAAGCCACGGCUAACUACGUGCCAGCCGCCGCGGUAACAC